GGGAUGUGGUAGCAAAGAAGCUAUUCCAAUGAUCCAACCUCAAGAUCAUGCAAAUGUGAACUAAAGCAAUGGCAUCAGGAUGGAGCAGAGAAGAUGGACUGGAGAGAGUUUUAGGAGAUGGAGGAAGGUAGCCUGGGCCCAACUGAACUCACUGUGUAUUCAGAAAAUAACCCACAGUUGGGAAAUUCACAGUGCCAUUGCUUUGAAUCAAAUCCUUACUUCAUACCAGGAUGUACCAUGAUUCUUGGCAACAUGACUGGGUAUUGAUGUCUUGUCUAGCC
rnacentral:lncRNA from 1 species